CGCGUAGGCGGUCGGGUUAGUCGGUUGUGAAAUCCCUCGGCUCAACCGAGGAACUGCAUCCGAUACUGCCCGGCUAGAGUGCGGAAGGGGAGAGUGGAACUCCUGGUGGAGCGGUGAAAUGCGUAGAUAUCAGGAGGAACGCCGGUGGCGAAAGCGACUCUCUGGUCCGUAACUGACGCUGAGGCGCGAAAGCCAGGGGAGCGAACG
rnacentral:rRNA from 1 species